rnacentral:rRNA from 1 species
GGAAUAUUGGACAAUGGGGGCAACCCUGAUCCAGCGAUGCCGCGUGGGUGAAGAAGGCCUUCGGGUUGUAAAGCCCUUUAGGUCGGGAAGAAGGUUAGUAGAGGAAAUGCUAUUAAUUUGACGGUACCGACAGAAUAAGCACCGGCAAACUCUGUGCCAGCAGCCGCGGUAAUACAGAGGGUGCGAGCGUUAAUCGGAUUUACUGGGCGUAAAGGGCGCGUAGGCGGUGAGAUGUGUGUGAUGUGAAAGCCCCGGGCUCAACCUGGGAGGUGCAUCGCAAACUGUCUGACUGGAGUAUAUGAGAGGGUGGCGGAAUUUCCGGUGUAGCGGUGAAAUGCGUAGAGAUCGGAAGGAACGUCGAUGGCGAAGGCAGCCACCUGGCAUAAUACUGACGCUGAGGCGCGAAAGCGUGGGGAUCGA